rnacentral:rRNA from 1 species
CGGCGGACGGGUGAGUAACGCGUGGGUAACCUGCCUUAUACAGGGGGAUAACAGUUAGAAAUGACUGCUAAUACCGCAUAAGCGCACAGUACUGCAUGGUACAGUGUGAAAAACUCCGGUGGUAUAAGAUGGACCCGCGUCUGAUUAGCCAGUCGGCGGGGUAACGGCCCACCAAAGCGACGAUCAGUAGCCGACCUGAGAGGGUGACCGGCCACAUUGGGACUGAGACACGGCCCAAACUCCUACGGAAGGCAGCAG